GAUGAACGCUGGCGGCGUGCCUAAUACAUGCCAGUCGAGCGAACAGACGAGGAGCUUGCUCCUCUGACGUUAGCGGCGGACGGGUGAGUAACACGUGGAUAACCUACCUAUAAGACUGGGAUAACUUCGGGAAACCGGAGCUAAUACCGGAUAAUAUAUUUAACCGCAUGGUUCAAUAGUGAAAGACGGUUUUGCUGUACCUUAUAGAUGGAUCCGCGCCGCAUUAGCUAGUUGGUAAGGUAACGGCUUACCAAGGCAACGAUGCGUAGCCGACCUGAGAGGGUGAUCGGCCACACUGGAACUGAGACACGGUCCAGACUCCUACGGGAGGCAGCAGUAGGGAAUCUUCCGCAAUGGGCGAAAGCCUGACGGAGCAACGCCGCGUGAGUGAUGAAGGUCUUCGGAUCGUAAAACUCUGUUAUUAGGGAAGAACAAAUGUGUAAGUAACUAUGCACGUCUUGACGGUACCUAAUCAGAAAGCCACGGCUAACUACGUG
rnacentral:rRNA from 1 species